AGCAAGCGCAAGCAAUUACACUAGACAGCUGUUGAAAUCCAUUGUGGGUCCAACGUUACUUUAGAUUGAUUGACAUGAGGAAGUUAGCUUUUUGCCAGCUGGAUAUCAGUGCUCUCAGAACCACGUUGUGGAGUUGAUGAGUACAUUAUUUGAAGCGCCAUGGUGGAUGUGACUUCCUGUCUGUAGCCCAUGUGACUGAUGACAAAGUGGAGUUUCUCCCUCCUCAUGAGACAACAGACACACAUGUCAUAAUAAAUAUCACUGGAUCCUCUGCUUAUGGUGAUGUCACGGAUGAUGAUGCUCCCAUCUCCCCUAUCCACAGGCUUCUGUUAUUCUACCAACCGUUUCUCUGAAGAGAGGUCCAUCCUGAAUGUGUUGUUACCUCCCUGAUCACAACAUUUCUGGGAAGCAAGCAUGAGUAAGGUUUUCAAAUCCCACUUCUAUCUGGCUGGAAUUCCAUCAAGCUGGGAGUGUCAAAGACAUAAAAUAGAAAAAGUACAUGAUGGGCAAGUGAUUUAGCUUGGAGUUUGCACAACAUGUGUAUUUGAUUGAAGCACAAAUGUAUCUGUCCAUUGUCGAUUCUCAAGGUGCAAUAGGAGAGGAAGGGAAGGAAUGGAAACAAAGAAACCAUUGAAACAAAUCCUCACUGCAAUCUAACCCUGAAGAAAGCAUACAUCCUCUCCACAGAUAUUACAGAUGGAUAUAGGAUCACCCCAACAGUAAUUAAUAUCUAUAAGUCAAAAAGAGAUUACAACUUCAGAUAUUUCUUUAACUGUGAGCUCAGUAUCUUCACACUUCAUGUAAGAUUGUAGAUACUGACUCUGGCUUUGUGUUCCAGACAGCAGAAUUUAUGGAUUUCAAAUCCUAUGAAAACUACUUCCCCACAUUUCAGUUGUCAUGAUUGAUUGCCAACAAGGGUUUUGUCACCAAGUACUAAGUCAUGUUUUGCAGAGG
rnacentral:lncRNA from 1 species